rnacentral:rRNA from 1 species
CCUACGGGAGGCUGCAGUGAGGAAUAUUGGUCAAUGGACGAGAGUCUGAACCAGCCAAGUAGCGUGCAGGACGACGGCCCUAUGGGUUGUAAACUGCUUUUAUAGGGGAAUAAAGUGAUUCACGUGUGGAUUAUUGUAUGUACCCUAUGAAUAAGGACCGGCUAAUUCCGUGCCAGCAGCCGCGGUAAUACGGAAGGUUCGGGCGUUAUCCGGAUUUAUUGGGUUUAAAGGGAGCGUAGGCCGUAGAUUAAGCGUGUUGUGAAAUGUAGAUGCUCAACAUCUGACUUGCAGCGCGAACUGGUUUACUAGAGUGUGCACAACGUAGGCGGAAUUCGUCGUGUAGCGGGGAAAUGCUUAGAUAUGACGAAGAACUCCGAUUGCGAAGGCAGCUUACGGGAGCACAACUGACGCUGAAGCUCGAAGGUGCGGGUAUCAAACAGGAUUAGAUACCCGAGUAGUC